GGGAAAAAAAUUUUCUUUGUUACCAAGUGCCCGAGUGCCACGGUCCCCGUCAGUACUGUCCUCACUGAAGUCCAGUUCCCCUCCUGUGGGCGUUGAGCCUCCUCCUGGAUCUCCUGGGUGAGGCCGCUGGCUGCCGGGAUCAAGGCCAUUUCCUGGUGCAGGAGCUGGGAGUGGUGUAGCCAGGUCUGAAUGCUGU